GGCCGUGUGGUGUAGUGGUAGCAUACUUGCUUUGGGAACUUCCUCUCAUUGCUGUUGCAAGUGGUCCCAGGUUCGAGCCCUGGCUCGGCCC
rnacentral:tRNA from 2 species